rnacentral:rRNA from 1 species
UACAGAGGGUGCGAGCGUUAAUCGGAAUUACUGGGCGUAAAGGGCGCGUAGGCGGGAUGGCAAGUCGGUCGUGAAAUCCCUCGGCUCAACCGAGGAACGUCGAUCGAUACUGCUGUUCUUGAGGAUUGCAGAGGAGACUGGAAUUCCCGGUGUAGCGGUGGAAAUGUGUAGAGAUCGGGGAGGAACACCGGUGGCGAAGGCGGGUCUCUGGGCAAUUCCUGACGCUGAGGCGCGAAAGCGUGGGGAGCAAACGGG